CAGAGGAGCCAAGCGUUGUCCGGAUUGACUGGGCGUAAAGCGCACGCAGGCGGGUGCGCGCGUGGGGUGUGAAAUCUGGCCGCUUAACGGCCAGGCGCCAUCCCAUACGGCGCACCUGGAGCGGUGCAGAGGGCGGUGGAAUUGCCGGUGUAGUGUGAAAUGCGUAGAGAUCGGCAGGAACACCCAGGGGGAAACCAGCCGCCUGGGCACGCGCUGACGCUGAGGUGCGAGAGCGUGGGGAGCGAACCGGAUUAGAUACCCGGGUAGUCCACGCUGUAAACGAUGGCCACUCGGCCUUUGGGAACGGAACCUCCGUUCCUGGGGGCCUGAGCUAACGCACUAAGUGGCCCGCCUGGGAACUACGAGCGCAAGCUUA
rnacentral:rRNA from 1 species